ACACGUAGGGGGCAAGCGUUGUCCGGAAUUACUGGGCGUAAAGGGCGUGUAGGCGGCCAUGUAUGUCAGGUGUGAAAGGCCUCGGCUUAACCGAGGCAUUGCACAUGAAACUGUAUGGCUUGAGUGCAGGAGAGGGGAGUGGAAUUCCUAGUGUAGCGGUGAAAUGCGUAGAUAUUAGGAGGAACACCAGUGGCGAAGGCGACUUCCUGGACUGUAACUGACGCUGAGGCGCGAAAGCGUGGGUAGCAAACAGGAUUAGAUACCCUGGUAGUCCACGCCGUAAACGAUGGGUACUAGGUGUGGGUAGUUCACUCUAUCCGUGCCGCAGCAAACGCAUUAAGUACCCCGCCUGGGGAGUACGGCCGCAAGGUUAAA
rnacentral:rRNA from 1 species